rnacentral:rRNA from 1 species
UACAGAGGGUGCGAGCGUUGUCCGGAAUCACUGGGCGUAAAGCGCGCGUAGGUGGCCUCAUAAGUCCGCUGUGAAAGUCAAAGGCUCAACCUUUGAAAGCCGGUGGAUACUGUGAGGCUAGAGUACGGAAGAGGCGAGUGGAAUUCCUGGUGUAGCGGUGGAAUGCGCAGAUAUCAGGAGGAACACCAAUAGCGAAGGCAGCUCGCUGGGACGUUACUGACACUGAGGCGCGAAAGCGUGGGGAGCGAACAGG